UACGUAGGGUGCGAGCGUUGUCCGGAAUUACUGGGCGUAAAGAGUUCGUAGGCGGUUUGUCGCGUCGUUUCGUGAAAACUUGGGGCUUAACUCCAAGCGUGCGGGCGUACGGGGCAGACUUGAGUACUACAGGGGGAGACUGGAAUUCCUGGUGUAGCGGUGAAAAUGCGUAGAGAUCGGGGAGGAACACCCAGUGGCGAAGGCGGCU
rnacentral:rRNA from 1 species